UACGGAGGGUGCGAGCGUUGUCCAGAAUCACUGGGCGUAAAGGGCGCGUAGGCGGCUCAUGAAGGCUGUGGUGAAAGUCCGGGGCUCAACCUCGGAUCGGCCGUGGCGACUCGUGGGCUGGAGCACUGUAGAGGCGGGUGGAAUUCCGGGUGUAGCGGUGGAAUGCGUAGAGAUCCGGAAGAACACCAGUGGCGAAGGCGGCCCGCUGGGCAGUGGCUGACGCUGAGGCGCGACAGCGUGGGGAGCAAACAGG
rnacentral:rRNA from 1 species